rnacentral:rRNA from 1 species
GACGAACGCUGGCGGCGUGCUUAACACAUGCAAGUCGAACGGUGAAGCGCCUUCCUUUUUGGUGGGUGUGGAUGAGUGGCGAACGGGUGAGUAACACGUGAGUAACCUGCCCCCUUCUUCUGGAUAACCGCAUGAAAGUGUGGCUAAUACGGGAUAUUCUGGGUCUGUCGCAUGAUGGGUCUGGGAAAGAUAUUGUUUCGGUGGGGGAUGGGCUCGCGGCCUAUCAGCUUGUUGGUGGGGUGAUGGCCUACCAAGGCGGUGACGGGUAGCCGGCCUGAGAGGGUGGACGGUCACACUGGGACUGAGACGCGGCCCAGACUCCUACGGGAGGCAGCAGUGGGGAAUAUUGCACAAUGGGCGCAAGCCUGAUGCAGCGACGCCGCGUGAGGGAUGGAGGCCUUCGGGUUGUGAACCUCUUUCGCCAGUGAAGCAGGCCUGCCUCGUUUGUGGGUGGUUUGACGGUAGCUGGAGAAGAAGCGCCGGCUAACUACGUG